rnacentral:lncRNA from 1 species
UGAUUCUCAUGCUCAAAGUACCCUUAAUAUACAAGGGGGAUCACUUGUAGGUAAUUUUGCAUAUAAUCAUGAAAAUCAAAGAAAAGCACUUGUAAAAUGGAUAGUUAAGGAUGAAUUACCUUUUAGUUUAUGUGAAUCUUUUAAUUUUGAAAAAUAUGUUCAAUUAAACCCUACAACCUGCUUACAAAAGAACUAGUAGGCGUACAUUUAGAAGAGUAGCUAUGACUAACUUUUUAGCAAUGAGACAAACUUUAAUUGAAACACUUUCUACUUUAAAAGUAAAAAUUUCAUUAACUUCUGAUAUUUGGUCAGCAUCUGUAGGUAGUAAUUGUUUUAUUGCCAUUACUGCUCAUUAUAUUGAUAUUGAUUGCAAUUAAAUAAACGUAUUCUUGCUUUUCGUGCUUUUGAUUUUCCACAUUCUGGGCAACAAAUUUCAAAUGUCAUUUAUCAAACUGUAUGUUCAUAUAAU